AGACCCUCUUGGAAUUUCAUCUGCAAUCACCGUUUCUCUACUUCUUCUUCAUUGUCUUCCUCACCAUGUCGAGUUCUUCAGAAAUCUGUUUCAUUGGCUGCUUCAGUCGCGAUUCUUCUCUGGUCAAAUCCAGCACAUGCCGGAUUUCUAUCGGGCUUCUCUGGAAUAGAAUCAGUCUCUGGUCCUGAACUACCGCAGAUUGAUUUCCUCAAUCGAUUCAAUGAAGCAAAUCAAG